rnacentral:rRNA from 1 species
UACGUAGGGGGCAAGCGUUGUCCGGAUUUAUUGGGCGUAAAGAGCGUGUAGGCGGCUUGGUAGGUCCGCUGUGAAAACUCGAGGCUCAACCUCGAGAUGUCGGCGGAAACCACUUGGCUAGAGUCCGGAAGAGGAGAGUGGAAUUCCCGGUGUAGCGGUGAAAUGCGUAGAUAUCGGGAAGAACACCCGUGGCGAAGGCGGCUCUCUGGGACGGUACUGACGCUGAGACGCGAAAGCGUGGGGAGCGAACAGG